rnacentral:rRNA from 1 species
UACGUAGGGUGCAAGCGUUAAUCGGAAUUACUGGGCGUAAGCGUGCGCAGGCGGCUUUGCAAGACAGAUGUGAAAUCCCCGGGCUUAACCUGGGAACUGCAUUUGUGACUGCAGGGCUGGAGUGCGGCAGAGGGGGAUGGAAUUCCGGCGUGUAGCAGUGAAAUGCGUAGAUAUGCGGAGGAACACCGAUGGCGAAGGCAAUCCCCUGGGCCUGCACUGACGCUGAUGCGCGAAAGCCAGGGGAGCGAACGGG